UUGAUCUAUUGAUCUAAUUGAUCCAAGAAGCAACUUGUCAGCUCAUCAAGAAAGGUCUGUCUCACUGGGGAGGAGAGAGGUCCAGCAGCAGCAGCCACAGCAGCAACCAGCCUCAGAGCAGAGGGCCUGCACUGGGCUUUGAGCCUAAGGCAAUCCAUCAUCCACGCCCUGCCUCUGAGACAAGCACAGAAGUAGAAAGUCAUCCCUCAGCACAAUGAAUACCAAUGGUGAAGAAAACUCAUCCAGUAUUACAGAAAUAGAAGAUAAAAAAGAGACAACAGAAUCAGUAAACUCAGAAGAUAAUGCAGAUGGCACACAGAAUGUGCUGGCUAAGGAAAGUUCAUUGUUUUGUCCGCUCUCAAAAUUGUUUCUUUCUGCUGACGCUUUGAUAAAGGAAAAUGAAAAAUCCCAUAACUUAAAAAAGCAUGAGAUUUCCAUUACAGAAGCAAAGAACUAUCUUCUUCGAGUCUUAAACAUCAUAUCACUAGAAACACUGGGUCAAGAAGAACCACUAGAGCCUACUCAGCCUGUUGUCUUAAAGAGCAAGAGUACUAUUUGUGACCCAAUAGGAAUGAUGAAAAUCCUACGCCAUAACUUAUUAUCAGCACCCACAUCAAGUGACAAGAGUGAAAAGAGCCCAAUGCCCCUCAAAGCAUUUGCCCCCCUUGACAAAUUCCCCUCUCCAAUGCACAUUUUUCCUUAUGAGUUGCUUGCCCAACAUUGUCUUCCUUUCUUGGUACCUUUCAUAGUAAGAGAUGAUAUUAGGAAGAAGAAGAUUUUGUGCAGGAUAGUCCUUUUCAAUAUUGUCCCUCCCAAAGGAAAAGUCUUCAGACCACAAGGAAAAAGACAAAAACAUUUUGAAAAAUUGCGCCAUCCAGAAAAACAAUUUAUGGAUCUGAAAGACCUCCAGCGGAAAUAUUAUAAGGGCUUGUUGAAAUGGAAAAAGAAACCCCUGCCUACGUUCAAGGAAAUAAUUCCUAUUAUUGAAAAGACAUAUGUACCUGAAAUGCUCUCGAUGGAUUAUAAAGUCAAUCAGAAGUAAUAAUCCAAAUGUACCAUAAAAAGUGGGUUGUUUGUGUUAAGUAAAACCUUCCAUUAAAUAAAAUGGUGCACAUCUGUGA
rnacentral:lncRNA from 1 species